UACGGAAGGCAGCAGUGGGGAAUAUUGCACAAUGGGCGCAAGCCUAAUGCAGCCAUGCCGCGUGUAUGAAAAGGCCUUCGGGUUGUAAAGUACUUUCAGUCGUGAGGAAGGUGUUAAGGUUAAUAACCUUAGCAAUUGACGUUAGCGACAGAAGAAGCACCGGCUAACUCCGUGCCAGCAGCCGCGGUAAUACGGAGGGUGCGAGCGUUAAUCGGAAUUACUGGGCGUAAAGGGCACGCAGGCGGUUAAUUAAGUUGGAUGUGAAAUCCCCGGGCUUAACCUGGGAAUGGCAUUCAAGACUGGUUAGCUAGAGUCUUGUAGAGGGGGUAGAAUUCCAUGUGUAGCGGUGAAAUGCGUAGAGAUGUGGAGGAAUACCGGUGGCGAAGGCGGCCCCUGGACAAAGACUGACGCUCAUGUGCGAAAGCUGGGGAGCAAACAGGGAUUAGAUACC
rnacentral:rRNA from 1 species